rnacentral:lncRNA from 1 species
GCUGCAAAAAAACCCAGUUUCCUUUAACGAAGCUAUCCAUUUGAUUUUUAUGGUGGGGGGGCUAGAAUAAAAUUAGAAAAAAUAGGCAGGACAGGAGUUUUGAGUAAAAAAAAGGCAGGAUGACACACUUGCAAAAAAAAAUAAGACAAUUUUGGUAAAAAAGUCAGGAUAAACUAAAAAAAAAAAAAGGCAGGACCAGAGACAUAUAAAGGAUACAAUGUAUUAUAUGUCUCUGGCAGGACCGAACACAGUGAAAAAUAAAAAAGCAGGACAGAGAUUACAGCUAAAAAAAG